rnacentral:rRNA from 1 species
GACGAACGCUGGCGGCGUGCUUAACACAUGCAAGUCGAACGGAAAGGCCCUGCUGGCGGGGUACUAGAGUGGAGAAGGGGUGAGUAACGCGAGGGAGAUGUGCCCUGCACUUGGGGAUAAGCCUGGGAAAGUGGGUAUAAUACGGGAUAGGAGCCACUUUCAGGGGGAGGGGUGGAAAGUUUUUUGGGUGUGGGAUGAGCUCGCGGCCUAUCAGCUUGUUGGGGGGGUAAUGGCCUACCAAGGCGGCGACGGGUAGCCGGCCUGGGAGGGUGGACGGCCACAUUGGGACUUAGGUACGGCCCAGACUCCUUCCGGGAGCAACAGUUGGGAAUUUUGCACCAUUGGCGCAAGCCUGAUGCAGCGACGCCGGGUGGGGGAUGACCGCCUUUGGGUUUUAAACUCCUUUCGCUAGGGACGAAGCUUUUUGUGACGGUACCUAGAAAAGAAGCACCGGCUAACUACGUG